GCGAGGGUUGCUGAGCCAGGUCAAAGGCGGUGGACUCAAGAUCCACUCCCGUUAGGGGUUCGCCGGUUCGAAUCCGGCCCCUCGCA
rnacentral:tRNA from 2 species